GAAAAACUAUGAAGGCUGUCGCGGCUGGGCUCUCGGGCGCAGUGCUGCUGAGGCUGGAUUAUUUAUUCACCCUUGAUCUUUUGCGCACUUGAUUGUUUCCUGGGCGGGUUCGCCCGCCGCCAGGACCACACCAUAAACCUUUUUUUAUGCAGUUGCAAUCAGCGUCAGUACAACAAAUGUAAAUCAUUUACAACUUUCAACAACGGAUCUCUUGGUUCUGGCAUCGAUGAAGAACGCAGCGAAAUGCGAUACGUAGUGUGAAUUGCAGAAUUCAGUGAAUCAUCGAAUCUUUGAACGCACAUUGCGCCCUUUGGUAUUCCAAAGGGCAUGCCUGUUCGAGCGUCAUUUGUACCCUCAAGCUUUGCUUGGUGUUGGGCGUCUUGUCUUUUGGCUCUUUGCCCAAAGACUCGCCUUAAAACGAUUGGCAGCCGGCCUACUGGUUUCGCAGCGCAGCACAUUUUUGCGCUUGCAAUCAGCAAAAGAGGACGGCACUCCAUCAAGACUCCUUCUCACGUUUGACCUCGGAUCAGGUAGGGAUACCCGCUGAACUUAAGCAUAUCAAUAAGCGGAGGAA
rnacentral:rRNA from 1 species